rnacentral:rRNA from 1 species
GAGUUUGAUCCUGGCUCAGAACGAACGCUGGCGGCAUGCCUAACACAUGCAAGUCGAACGGGAUCCUGGCUUCGGUCAGGUGAGAGUGGCGGACGGGUGAGUAACGCGUGGGAACCUGCCCAGUGGUGGGGGAUAACUGCGGGAAACUGCAGCUAAUACCGCAUGAGCCCGAGAGGGGAAAGAUUUAUCGCCAUUGGAGGGGCCCGCGUUCGAUUAGGUAGUUGGUGAGGUAAUGGCUCACCAAGCCGACGAUCGAUAGCUGGUCUGAGAGGAUGAUCAGCCACACUGGGACUGAGAUACGGCCCAGACUCCUACGGGAGGCAGCAGUGGGGAAUAUUGGACAAUGGGGGCAACCCUGAUCCAGCAAUGCCGCGUGAGUGAUGAAGG